AAGAGCAUUGAAGAACAAGACAAAUCGGCUUGAAUGAGAAGAUGCCUUGCGAGAAUUGAGAAUGCCUUCCCCAACAAAGUUCAUACCAUGGCUGGAAAAGGAUAUUCAAAUAUUUGGUUGAGUUACAAAUACUUAACAGGAUUUAAAAUGUUGCUAUUAUUGGAGAAAUGAAGAUACUCAAGUCAUUUUCCUUAGCCUGCGAGAUUCUUGUUAUAUAGGAGGUGAGUGAUAGGCCAAUUGACUCCACUAGUCUCGUUAGAUUCAAGCAAUUGGGGCAACUAGAAGCUUUUGCAGAAAUGUAAUAUCAAGCUUAUUUCGAAUUAAGUGUAUCAGGGGAUGUCUAUUUAAUGGAAAUGUAAUAUCAAUGUUGAAUGCUCUGCUAGAUUUGCAUUUUUGUUUAUGCACAUUCUAAUGUGUAACAUGUAGAAGUGUUAUUGAUUUA